rnacentral:rRNA from 1 species
AAUGGGCGCAAGCCUGAUCCAGCCAUACCGCGUGAGUGAAGAAGGCCCUCGGGUUGUAAAGCUCUUUUGUUGGGAAAGAAAUCCUGUUGGUUAAUACCUGGCAGGGAUGACGGUACCCAAAGAAUAAGCACCGGCUAACUUCGUGCCAGCAGCCGCGGUAAUACGAAGGGUGCAAGCGUUACUCGGAAUUACUGGGCGUAAAGCGUGCGUAGGUGGUUGUUUAAGUCUGUCGUGAAAGCCCUGGGCUCAACCUGGGAAUUGCGAUGGAUACUGGGCGACUAGAAUGUGGUAGAGGGUGGCGGAAUUCCCGGUGUAGCAGUGAAAUGCGUAGAGAUCGGGAGGAACAUCCGUGGCGAAGGCGGCCACCUGGACCAACAUUGACACUGAGGCACGAAAGCGUGGGGAGCAAA